rnacentral:rRNA from 1 species
AGAGUUGAUCAUGGCUCAGGAUGAACGCUAGCGACAGGCUAACACAUGCAAGUCGAGGGGCAGCAUAAAGUAGCAAUACCUGGUGGCGACCGGCGCACGGGUGCGUAACGCGUAUGCAACCUGCCCCCAUCAGGGGAAUAGCCCGCCGAAAGGCGGAUUAAUGCCCCAUAGGCCCAGGGCGCCGCAUGGCGCUAUGGGUAAAGCUCCGGCGGAUGGGGAUGGGCAUGCGUGCCAUUAGCUAGUUGGGGCGGUAACAGCGCACCAAGGCGACGAUGGCUAGGGGGUCUGAGAGGAUGGUCCCCCACACUGGUACUGAGACACGGACCAGACUCCUACGGGAGGCAGCAGUGAGGAAUAUUGGUCAAUGGGCGGAAGCCUGAACCAGCCAUGCCGCGUGCAGGAUGACGGCCCUACGGGUUGUAAACUGCUUUUCCCCGGGAAGAAUAAGCCCCUCGUGAGGGGUGAUGCCGGUACCGGGGGAAUAAGGAUCGGCUAACUCCGUGCCAGCCGCUGC